ACUGAGGGAAUGAUGGGGAAUGAGCACAAUUUAAAGGGUGGCAUAGAACACAUUCACUUCUAUACGGAGCUAAAUGUUAUCCCUUUUCAGUUGUAGAUUUAGGAAGUACUGCAGUAAUCACCAUGCUACGUGCCCUGACUUAUUGUAGCAGCAGAUGUGCGUCCCCAUUCACUGUCAUGUUUGAAAUGUUUUGACAGUGGGUGCAACUGCACGUAGUACUGAGACUUGCCCUGGUUGAUUCGAUCAACUGCACGUAGUACUGAGACUUGCCCUGGUUGAUUCGAUCUGUAUUGUUGUCUAGGUUUUCAUGAGUCAGACUGGAUAGCAGAUCACGAAAUAAAUACACAUUCAGUGAUUUUAAUAGCUGGUCUGAUACCCUGGGCUGUUGCUCCUGUUAGCUGAAAAGUCCACUUACUCAGGGUUCUUCAUUGUGAGUGCCCCCCCUUACUUUCUACUUUAAUAAAAUCCAUCCAAAUUAUGGUUACCCAACAACUUGGGAGACAAGAAUCACAUUACAGUACAGUUUAAAGAAAGUUAUAAAUGUAGCAAUAUUCUCUAUAGUAUGAAAGCAAAGUUUAGUUUUGAAACAAAAAGCAUUAUUUGUUGCCAUAUUAUGUUUUAUAACGUUUGAAACAGUAAAGCUGAAAGGUUACUUGUUAUAGUCAAAUUAUUUUCUCCCUUCCAAAUCAAUGGGAGGAAAAAAAUGCUAUUUUGGCAAGAAAAUGCUCCUAGUGAGCAAUAUGCUCUGGUGGGGUUGGCCAUGUUUUAGAGAAACAUGUGCACGUAAUAGCGAUCUGGGACACUCCUACUCAUUUGUGUGCAUCUCCGGUGGGGAUAUGUAAUUAAAAAAGUUUUUAUUUAAUGCAGUCUUUUUUUAUAGAUAGAAAAGCGUGGUUAAUACAGUUACAGAUAAUACAAUUAUGGGCUAUUCUGCUUUGGCCCAAUCCAUAAACAUAGCGUAUGUGGCAUCUUCUAAUAUAAUCGCAGAAGAUUUGGCAGCAUUUAAUAGGUGCAUAUAAAACAACACCACCACCACCCUAAAAGUUAUGUUUUCAUUAGAAAUAAUUGAAGCCACUCAUACUUUUUUACAUUUCAGUUUAAAAAUUUAUUUUUAUGUUACGUUUCUACCCUAAAGCACGUAUUUUGUAGCAGUGCAUUUAGGAUAAAAUACUUCAAAGAAGAGUGAAUGCGCGUGAUCUUCUUCUUUCCUUCAAAAUGCCAGGGCCAACACAUGCCGCAAUCGAUUGAAAAGGCCACUUUUUUGCAUUUCACUCUACUGUGUAUGGGCACCCAGUGUGAAGAAAGAAGCAGGAAGAGGAUUGCUUACUUGCAUGUCCCCCAGGCUGCUGCAGUCUUCUGCAAACAGAAGCACUGGCCUAGUAUCAGGAAGUGAUUACAACCACUGGGGCAUCUCUAACAUUUGGCACUUUUCAGUGAUUGUACCUUUCCUUCUGCUUUAUACAGGAUGGGUGGAGUUUUGAAAAGACACUGUUUUGUUAACAAAUAAAUGCCUUCACUUAGA